rnacentral:tRNA from 1 species
GAUGAUUUAUUUUAAGAAAAAUGUUAUUUUGCAAAAAUAAAGUUGCUCUUCUAGAGUAGUCAUCU